rnacentral:rRNA from 1 species
GAUCAUGGCUCAGGAUGAACGCUGGCGGCGUGCUUAACACAUGCAAGUCGAACGGGAAACCUUUUAUUGAAGCUUCGGCAGAUUUAAUUUGUUUCUAGUGGCGGACGGGUGAGUAACGCGUGGGUAACCUGCCCUAUACAGGGGGAUAACAACCAGAAAUGGUUGCUAAUACCGCAUAAGCGCACAGGACCGCAUGGUCCGGUGUGAAAAACUCCGGUGGUAUAGGAUGGACCCGCGUUGGAUUAGCCAGUUAG